UACAGAGGGUGCGAGCGUUAAUCGGAAUUACUGGGCGUAAAGCGCACGUAGGCGGCUUGGUAUGUCGGGUGUGAAAUCCCCGGGCUCAACCUGGGAACUGCAUCCGAAACUGCCUUGCUAGAGUAUGGGAGAGGGAAGUGGAAUUUCCGGUGUAGCGGUGAAAUGCGUAGAUAUCGGAAGGAACAUCAGUGGCGAAGGCGACUUCCUGGACCAAUACUGACGCUCAGGUGCGAAAGCGUGGGGAGCAAACAG
rnacentral:rRNA from 1 species